rnacentral:rRNA from 1 species
CGGUAGCUAAUACCGCAUAACGUCGCAAGACCAAAGAGGGGGACCUUCGGGCCUCUUGCCAUCGGAUGUGCCCAGAUGGGAUUAGCUAGUAGGUGGGGUAACGGCUCACCUAGGCGACGAUCCCUAGCUGGUCUGAGAGGAUGACCAGCCACACUGGAACUGAGACACGGUCCAGACUCCUACGGGAGGCAGCAGUGGGGAAUAUUGCACAAUGGGCGCAAGCCUGAUGCAGCCAUGCCGCGUGUAUGAAGAAGGCCUUCGGGUUGUAAAGUACUUUCAGCGGGGAGGAAGGGAGUAAAGUUAAUACCUUUGCUCAUUGACGUUACCCGCAGAAGAAGCACCGGCUAACUCCGUGCCAGCAGCCGCGGUAAUACGGAGGGUGCAAGCGUUAAUCGGAAUUACUGGGCGUAAAGCGCACGCAGGCGGUUUGUUAAGUCAGAUGUGAAAUCCCCGGGCUCAACCUGGGAACUGCAUCUGAUACUGGCAAGCUUGAGUCUCGUAGAGGGGGGGUAGAAUUCCAGGUGUAGCGGUGAAAUGCGUAGAGAUCUGGAGGAAUACCGGGUGGCGAAAGGCGG